ACCUUGUGGCGCAACGGUAGCGCUUCUGACUCCAGAUCGUGGGAGAGCAAUAAACUUUAAUUUUUAAAAAGUUUUCUAAAAUUAGCAUGAUUUGAGUUUUGCUCUUCUAGACAAUCAAAACGGCAUUACUUGAAAUUGCCAGGAAUUAUGAUCAAAAAGUAAUAGCAUUUAAAAAUGGCAAAAAAAAAAUGAUGGCGUAAAAAACAAUGAGGAUUGUGUGUCCCUGAAGGUCUAGUGGUCAGGAUUCGAUUCCCAGUCAGGGAA